rnacentral:rRNA from 1 species
AGGUUAAUAUUUAUUGAAAUAUUUAGAGGUAGGUAAGUGUUUAAAGAAAUAAUUUUGUUUAAUUAGUUUGAGCGAAUAAAGGUUUAGGUUGUUAUGAUAGGGAACUAGUAUUGUAGAAGAAGUUUUGUAAACUAGGAAUAAGAAGGAUUAAUUUUUUGUACCUUGUGUAUCAGGGUUUAUUAAAUAAAAUUUAAUGAUUUUGAAUUUCUCGAAUUUAAAAGAGCUAGGGUUAUAUGUUUUUAUUGUGGAAAAAAUAAUGAAAAUAUGGCUUUAUGAAGUGAAAUGCUAUUCGAUUUUAAUUAUAUCUAGUUUUUUAAGAAAAAAAUUUAAUUUUAUUUUUAUUUAUUAUUAUUUUUAUUUAGGAAAGUGAUAUUGAUGCAAUUUUAUAUUUAGAGGGAUGAGCUUUUAAAUUUAAAUUAUAUAAUGGAUUUAAAUUGAGAAUAUUUUUAGUAGAAUUGAAAGUUUUUAUCUGUAAGAAUGUGUUAUUACUUGAGAAAUAGAAAAGAAAGAUUUAUAUUUAGUUUAUUUGAUUUAUUAAAAUUUAGGCUUAAAUAGAAUAAGUUUAGAAAUAAUGAUGGAAUUAGUAUAAUUUUGAGUAGGGAGUUUAUAGUAAGAGAGGUUUAGCAAAGGAAUUCGGCAAAUAUUUUUUUCACCUGUUUAUUAAAAACAUGGCUUAUUGAGUAUGAUUUUAAGUCUGACCUGCCCGCUGACUAGUUGAAUGGCCGCGGUAAAUUGACCGUGCAAAGGUAGCAUAGUCAGUAGUUUUUUAAUUGAAAGCUUGUAUGAAGGGUUUGAUGAAAAGAAGGCUGUCUCUGAUAAAUUUGAUUAGAAUUUUAUUUUUAAGUGAAAAAGCUUAGAUUUAAGUAGAAGACGAGAAGACCCUAUAGAGUUUAAUAUUUACUUGUGAAUUUGAUCUUAGGGAUACAAAGAUUAGGUUUAGGGGUAUUUAUUUGGUUGGGGAGACAAUAAAAUUAGAUAAACUUUUAUUUUAUACUAUAUUAAUUUAUAGGUGUUUGAUCCUUGUUUAAAGAUUUAGAGAUUAAAUUACCUUAGGGAUAACAGCGUAAUUUUUUUUAGAGUUCUUAUCAAAAAAAAAGAUUGCGACCUCGAUGUUGGAUUAAAAUGAAUUGCUGGUGCAGAAGCUAGCAGAUUAGGUCUGUUCGACCUUUAGAAUUUUACAUGAUCUGAGUUUAAACCGGUGUGAGCCAGGUUGGUUUCUAUCUCUAUGAAGUUUUAGUAUUUUAGUACGAAAGGACCAGGUACUGGGUUAAUAGCUUGAUAAAAGAGUAAUAUUAA